UUAGUCUGGUUUAGUAGCGGUUCUAAUAGUAAUCAUCAAUUACGUCAAGAUCCUUGAGAUUGAUACUGUUUUUACACAAAAAUAAAUACUCGUAAAACCCUAUUUUAUUGUGUAUUUUGCUGUGCCGUAUGUUUGAUUCUAGUUUUAGUCGGUGUGAUCUCAUUCUAGUUAUAUACGGAUUUACCGGUUCGGUUGUGAUAUACGUACAUAUAUUAAUAAACUAUGGAAAAAGAGCAUCACUAUGCAUAUAUGUCCUGGGUGUAUUUGGGAAUAUUGGUUACAAUAUUCAAUUAUUACUCCGCCACAGCGCGCAAAAUUGUUUACAGAAUCUCAAACCUAUCAAAAUCAGUUGUUUCGAAAUUGUUCCUUAACAAAUUUCAAGAAGAAGAGAUAAUUAGAUAUAUAGAACUAGCAACGGAGAAACUGCUUAUUUUCAUCUACCACACUGCCAGAUAUCUCUUAGACUUCAGUACCAACGUCUGUUUCGGAAUAGUAAUUAUUCUCUUAAUAGUAAAGCAUUCUUUGCGAGGCUACACCGCCCAGGAUUGGAAAUAUUAUUCCACGGCUUUGUUCUGAAAUGGGGAAGGUCCACAGAGAAAUUAAAACCUCAUUUAUAUGAGUCUACAUCAAAGCAGAUAUGGCAAAGUUGAAUAUAUUGCAGAUAUGAUCUCAGAUGUAAUUAGACGAACAUUAUCAGAUUGAAAGCCAGAAAAUAGUAGAUAGCAAGAUAAGGUUUUGUGGAAUCUGAUAUGGAAUUAAUUACAUCAAAAUAGAAUUAGAAUAUUUAAUAUUAAUAGGAAUUGUAUAUAGAAUACGAAAUAAAGACUGACUUUUGUAACUA